GAACCGUCAAACGUUAUUCGGAAUUAUUGGGCUUAAAGGGUGCGUAGGCGGUGUAGUAAGUUGGGGUGUGAAAUCCCUCGGGCUCAACCGAGGAACUGCGCCCAAUACUGCUACACUCGAGGGAGACAGAGGUAAGCGGAACUGAUGGUGGAGCGGUGAAAUGCGUUGAUAUCAUCAGGAACACCAGUGGCGAAAGCGGCUUACUGGGUCUCUUCUGACGCUGAGGCACGAAAGCUAGGGUAGCGAACGGGAUUAGAUACCCCGGUAGUCCUAGCUGUAAACGAUGAGCACUUGGUCGGAGAUUCCCCGAGAAUUUCCGGCCGUAGCGAAAGUGUUAAGUGCUCCGCCUGGGGAGUAUGGUCGCAAGGCUA
rnacentral:rRNA from 1 species